rnacentral:rRNA from 1 species
UGGCGGGACGGGGUGGAGUAAUGUCUGGGAAACUGCCCGAUGGAGGGGGAUAACUACUGGAAACGGUAGCUAAUACCGCAUAACGUCGCAAGACCAAGAGGGGGACCUUCGGGCCUCUUGCCAUCGGAUGUGCCCAGAUGGGAUUAGCUAGUAGGUGGGGUAACGGCUCACCUAGGCGACGAUCCCUAGCUGGUCUGAGAGGAUGACCAGCCACACUGGAACUGAGACACGGUCCAG